rnacentral:rRNA from 1 species
GGUUAAGCGAACAAGCGUACACGGUGGAUGCCCUGGCAGUCAGAGGCGAUGAAGGACGUGCUAAUCUGCGAAAAGCGCCGGUAAGGUGAUAUGAACCGUUAUAACCGGCGAUGUCCGAAUGGGGAAACCCGGUGCACUUCGGUGCAUCAUCGUUAGCUGAAUACAUAGGCUAACGAGGCGAACCGGGGGAACUGAAACAUCUAAGUACCCCGAGGAAAAGAAAUCAACCGAGAUUCCCCCAGUAGCGGCGAGCGAACGGGGAACAGCCCAGAGCCUGAAUCAGCUUGUGUGUCAGUGGAACGGUCUGGAAAGGCCGGCGAUACAGGGUGACAGCCCCGUACACGAAGGCACACAGGCUGUGAGCUCGAUGAGUAGGGCGGGACACGUGAUAUCCUGUCUGAAGAUGGGGGGACCAUCCUCCAAGGCUAAAUACUCCUGACUGACCGAUAGUGAACCAGUACCGUGAGGGAAAGGCGAAAAGAACCCCGGCGAGGGGAGUGAAACAGAACCUGAAACCGUGUACGUACAAGCAGUGGGAGCCUUCGUAAGAGGGUGACUGCGUACCUUUUGUAUAAUGGGUCAGCGACUUAUAUUCUGUAGCAAGGUUAACCGUAUAGGGGAGCCGAAGGGAAACCGAGUCUUAACCGGGCGUUAAGUUGCAGGGUAUAGACCCGAAACCCGGUGAUCUAGCCAUGGGCAGGUUGAAGGUUGGGUAACACUAACUGGAGGACCGAACCGACUAAUGUUGAAAAAUUAGCGGAUGACCUGUGGCUGGGGG